rnacentral:rRNA from 1 species
UACAGGGGGUGCAAACGUUGCUCGGAAUCAUUGGGCGUAAAGCGCACGUAGGCGGUCUGUUAUGUCGGAUGUGAAAGCCCUUGGCUCAACCGAGGAACUGCAUCCGAUACUGGCGGGCUUGAAUCCGGGAGAGGGAUGUGGAAUUCCAGGUGUAGCGGUGAAAUGCGUAGAUAUCUGGAGGAACACCGGUGGCGAAGGCGGCAUCCUGGACCGGUAUUGACGCUGAGGCGCGAAAGCUAGGGGAGCAAACGGGG